UCUUUCCUGCACUCCUGUUCAGUAUUAAAGUCUUGUUUUUUCCACGCUAAUGCUCCCUGCCACACCCUUGUUGUUAACAAAUCCCUGUGUUCCUCUCCUUUUACCACCUGUGUCUUGUUUGUCUGAUCACUUUCCAGUUGUAUUACCUGCUUAUUUCCAAAGCCUCCUCAGUACAGUUUGACAAGACAAAAGUCAUCUCACUGAAGCCACAACUGCUGAAACAAAGAGGGCUUUUCUCACGAUGAUAGAUCCAAUCCAACUGAAAAAUUUAGUGUUUACAUUUGGAGGUGCGACAUCAGUGAAAGCAGCACAUGUCACAAUUCCAUCUUAUGAAGUCGUGACGGUGACAAUAACAAUCUCAUUGGUCUUUCUUGGAAUCUAAGCACUGACCAGUGAGCUUUCUUCAGGAGAUGUUACAAAGAUGAUCAUUGGAAUUAUUGCGCUGAACGUCACUGGUGUACUCAAAAUGGAAAUUAAACUGGCGUGUGGAUUCAAUGCUUUUGUAAUUGUCAUCCUUGGCCUUAUGUCAUUGAAGGAAAACAAGGAAUCAGCUGAAAAGAAGACAGCAGGGUAAUGUAACAGUAAGGAGGGAACUGAGGAAGAAAAAAAUGGAUACAUCCACCCAUCCAUCUGUCCAUUGUUGUCCGUUCACGUAUGGCGGGUUCACUGGAGCACCAAGCAGAGCAAAGCACUCCAGACGUUCCUCUCCCAAGCAAUGCUUUCCAGUGCCCCUGUGGGCCCUUUAAGUUUACCAGGCGAGUUAUUGAAUUCCUCCAGUGUGUUCUGGGUCUGCCCAUUUCAGUCACCACUGAACGAAGACAUCAAGCCUCUGAUGAUCAUUUCUCCCUCUUAAAUUCACUGCCCAGGCGUGGACAUCUAACAGGCCGGGAGGCCAAACACUGUAGUUCAUAUGUGAUGACAAUAAAGUUUCAAAGGUCUGUGUGCUGACAGACCUUUGAAACUUUAUUGUCGUCACAUACAAAGAUGAGUUCAGAGGAUGUAAACACAAAGCAGGUUUAGUUAAUACACCCUCACUGCCAAAAUGGGACAUUUGAACUAGUUUAACUAGAACAACACAGUGUCUUAUAAAAUGCCACAAACUACAUACAUAUGUAGUUUAUAGAAUGUGUGGAAGAAUAUGUAUGAUUUUGAAAACAAUAAAUACAUUUAUGCAACCUGAUUCAUGGAGUAUACUUAAU